AAACCCGUAAAGAAGUUGGCAGGACGACCGAUAUGUUCAGGCUGCGGCUUCCGUCGUCUUCGAUUAUGUCCAUCAAGACGUUUCCUACAACUUCUCUUCCCUUCAUCAAACUCCUCCAAAGCAUGAAACC
rnacentral:sRNA from 1 species